CCUACGGGAGGCAGCAGUGGGGAAUAUUGGACAAUGGGGGGAACCCUGAUCCAGCGACGCCGCGUGAGUGAAGAAGUAUUUCUGUAUUUUAAGCUCCAUCAGCAGGGAAGAAAAUGACGGUACCUGACUAAGAAGCCCCGUCUAACUACGUACCAGCAGCCGGGGCAAUACGGAGGGGGCCACCGUUAUCCGGAUUUACUGGGGGUAAAGGGAGCUUAUACGGUGAAGCAAGUCUGAUGUGAAAUGUUGGGGCCCAACCCCGGGAGUGCAUUGGAAACUGUUGAACUGGAGUACAGGAGAGGUAAGCGGAAUGCGUAGUGUAGCGGUGAAAUGCGUAGAUAUUAGGAAGAACACCAAUGGCGAAGGCAGCUUACUGGAGUGUAACUGACGUUGAGGCACGAAAGCGUGGGGAGCAAACAGGAUUAGAUACCCGUGUAGUC
rnacentral:rRNA from 1 species